GCACGGAGGAAUGUUUGCAUCCCAUCCCAAGGCAGCUGCCGGCCCUGACCCCCCAUGGCUUUGGGGGUUUGCGAGGUGCCUCAGAAACCCAUUUCGGGUUCACAGCCCCAGCGGUGCCCAGCGGCUGAAGUCGACGCUGCUGCCAGAAGGGCCGGUCUCGCGCCCACCACAUCUCCUUGGGCCAGCCCUGGCAUCCACACGGCCACUCAGCCAGCCAGCACGCUGAACGUCCUGCAGAUUAACCCUACGGAAGGGAGAACAAGGAGGGAGGAUUGCUCCGAGACCAAGCGGCCCCCUGUGCCACGGGCCGCGCAGCCAAAGAAGCACAAGUGUCAGCGCAGGGGAGAGAGCAAGGGCGUGCGGCCGGCUGGGGGAGCUGCCUUCUGGCAGGAGCCCAGGGUGACAGGGUGGCUCCAGAGACCACAGGACAGCCGGUCGCCUCGUGUCAGAAAUCCUGUCUUCCAAGAACGACAAAACGUUGCCUCGCCCUUCACUUCUCCGGUAUUUUGUUUAUCCUGCUGUGGACACCAGCAGAUCUUAUCCCGUCCUUUGCAGAUUUCCUAUCGUUUAAUGGAGGGGAGGAGAGAGAAGAGAGAGGAGACACACUUGGCUGCGUUCCUCCGCCCGUCUUUUCUUCUGUGUCAGUCCGGCAGCAGUUAG
rnacentral:lncRNA from 1 species